rnacentral:rRNA from 1 species
GACGAACGCUGGCGGCGUGCUUAACACAUGCAAGUCGAACGGUAAGGCCCUUCGGGGUACACGAGUGGCGAACGGGUGAGUAACACGUGGGUGAUCUGCCCUGCACUUCGGGAUAAGCCUGGGAAACUGGGUCUAAUACCGGAUAGGACUCCUGGCUUCAUGGUUGGGGGUGGAAAGCUUUUGCGGUGUGGGAUGGGCCCGCGGCCUAUCAGCUUGUUGGUGGGGUAAUGGCCUUCCAAGGCGACGACGGGUAGCCGGCCUGAGAGGGUGACCGGUCACACUGGGACGGAGAUACGGCCCAGACGCCAACGGGAGGCAUCAGAGGGGGAUAUUGCACAAUGGGCGCAAGCCUGAUGCAGCGAAGCCGCGUGAGGGAUGACGGGCUUCGGGUUGUAAACCUCUUUCAGCUAUGACGAAGCGCAAGUGACGGUAGUAGCAGAAGAAGGACCGGCCAACUACGUGCCAGCCGCCGCGGUAA